AAGCAUUUUCUUUCUUUUUUGAAAGUCGGGUUUCGGCUGACACUUUACAGAUGAGGCCCGCGGGCGGCAUUAGCUAGUUGGUUGAGGGUAACGGCUCCACCCAAGGCGGACGAUGCGUAGCCGACCUGAGAGGGGUGAUCGGCCACACUGGGACUGAGACACGGCCCAGACUCCUACGGGAGGCAGCAGUAGGGAAUCUUCGGCAAUGGGCGAAAGCCUGACCGAGCAACGCCGCGUGAGCGAUGAAGGCCUUCGGGUCGUAAAGCUCUGUUGUUAGAGAAGAACAAGUACGAGAGUAACUGCUCGUACCUUGACGGUACCUAACCAGAAAGCCACGGCUAACUACGUGCCAGCAGCCGCGGUAAUACGUAGGUGGCAAGCGUUAUCCGGAAUUAUUGGGCGUAAAGCGCGCGCAGGCGGUCUCUUAAGUCUGAUGUGAAAGCCCACGGCUCAACCGUGGAGGGUCAUUGGAAACUGGGAGACUUGAGUGCAGGAGAGAAAAGUGGAAUUCCACGUGUAGCGGUGAAAUGCGUAGAGAUGUGGAGGAACACCAGUGGCGAAGGCGGCUUUUUGGCCUGUAACUGACGCUGAGGCGCGAAAGCGUGGGGAGCAAACAGGAUUAGAUACCCUGGUAGUCCACGCCGUAAACGAUGAGUGCUAGGUGUUGGGGGGUUCCACCCUCAGUGCUGAAGUUAACACAUUAAGCACUCCGCCUGGGGAGUACGACCGCAAGGUUGAAACUCAAAGGAAUUGACGGGGGCCCGCACAAGCAGUGGAGCAUGUGGUUUAAUUCGAAGCAACGCGAAGAACCUUACCAGGUCUUGACAUCCUUUGACCACUCUAGAGAUAGAGCUUUCCCCUUCGGGGGACAAAGUGACAGGUGGUGCAUGGUUGUCGUCAGCUCGUGUCGUGAGAUGUUGGGUUAAGUCCCGCAACGAGCGCAACCCUUGACCUUAGUUGCCAGCAUUCAGUUGGGCACUCUAAGGUGACUGCCGGUGACAAACCGGAGGAAGGUGGGGACGACGUCAAAUCAUCAUGCCCCUUAUGACCUGGGCUACACACGUGCUACAAUGGAUGAAACAAAGGGUUGCGAAGCCGGCGAAGGCCAAGCCAAUCCCAAAAAGUCAUUCUCAGUUCGGGAUUGUAAGGCUGCAACUUCGCCUAACAUGAAGCCGGAAUUGCUAGUAAU
rnacentral:rRNA from 1 species